GGCGAACGCUGGCGGCGUGCCUAAUACAUGCAAGUCGAGCGAAGUUUUUCUGGUGCUUGCACUAGAAAGACUUAGCGGCGCACGGGUGAGUCACACGUAAAGAACCUGCCUCAUAGACUGGGACAACUAUUGGAAACGAUAGCUAAUACCGGAUAACAGCAUUAACUGCAUGGUUGAUGUUUAAAAGUUGGUUUUGCUAACACUAUGAGAUGGCUUUGCGGUGCAUUAGCUAGUUGGUGGGGUAAAGGCCUACCAAGGCGACGAUGCAUAGCCGACCUGAGAGGGUGAUCGGCCACACUGGAACUGAGACACGGCCCAGACUCCUACGGGAGGCAGCAGUAGGGAAUCUUCCGCAAUGGGCGAAAGCCUGACGGAGCAACGCCGCGUGAGUGAAGAAGGAUUUCGGUUCGUAAAGCUCUGUUGUUAGGGAAGAAUGAUUGUGUAGUAACUAUACACAGUAGAGACGGUACCUAACCAGAAAGCCACGGCUAACUACGU
rnacentral:rRNA from 1 species